ACUGACGUGAAUUCCCAGCACCGAGCUCUGCCUCUUAAAGGAGCCACCAGGAAAUAAAAGCUCGGGUUACAGCCCGGCAUCGGGGAAAUAAAAGCCGGGCGGGGGGAGGGGCGGCGGCGGCGGAGGGAAGCCGGGGGAGCGGGGCCGCGCGAGGCCGCGGCCGCCGGCGGAGCGCGCGGCGCAGCCCUCCGCGGCGCGGCCCACGCGCGCCCGCCGCGAGCCCCUCCGCCGGCGGGGGAGCCGGGCUGCCCAGGCGCCGCCGAGCAAUCGCCUGGUCUAGGGAGACACGUUGGAAAAAACGUUACGCUGGGGCCCCAGAAACCACAAGACAGGUUUUUAUGAAACGCCUCCCACCUUGCCCGGCUCCGUCUCGGAUACACCGAAAUGCACGAGGGCUCUCCCCCACCCCCCGCCCCAGCCCGGGCGCAGAGGCCAGGAGAAUAAUCAUGUAAGAAGGGGCAUUCCGGUAUGGUUUCAUUUUUCUCUGGCCUCGAGAACUUUUGGCAUUUCUUGAAGUGCAGUUUGUUGGUGAUAAAGUCUCUCAGCUUU